UGUCUGUAGUUGGGGAGUGAUACAGGACAACUCGCUGAAGUUGGCUCCCUUCUUAUCUCAUAUGUGAGUCUGGGACUGAAUUCAGGUGAUCUGGCCUGCUGAGCCAUCUUUCUGGCCCCAUUUUUAAAAGAAAUUUCUGAACAAAAAAUAUCUGAGAUGAAGAAUGGUUCAUUUUCUGAGUUAAGUCUCCUCAAAAGACUACUGUGAUUGGUACUGCCGCCAGAGACCAUGUUGAUGUCUGAGAUCCACGCUGCCAAUGGAAACCAUGUAAAUGUUUAUGACCCAUGCUGCCAAUGGAAACCAUGUGGAUGUUUAUGACCCAUGCUGCUGCAGGCUGCUAUGGGUAGGGAAGCUUUCUUUGUGCGGUAUUGAUGACCACAGACUCAUAACUGAGAAUGAGAGACUUUGAAGACUCUCUGACAGCUCCCCCCCCCCAAAAAAAGAAAAGAAACAGUCGGAAGCUACUGAAGAGAGUCCUUAAGAACUGUGAUAAAGUUGCUGAGAUGGAGCUCUUCAUAGUUGAUGUCUCCUGGCAGGAGUGGAGUUGGGAAGGACUCAGUUUUCUUUAAGGGUCUGACCACUGGGAGUUUGACCAUGCUCCAUUCGACUCAAGCCAGAGUCUUCUGGGAAGAAAGAACAUCAACCGAGAAAAUAUCUCUCCAUCAGACAUCCUGUAAACAAGUCUGUGGGGCAUUUUCUUGAUAAAUGAUCGAAUGUGGGAGGCCCCACCCACUGUGGGUGGAGCCUUAGCUGCACUCCUCCAUGACCCUGCCUUAGACUCUGAUUUCAGGUGUUUCCCUGAGCUCCUGCCCUCACUUCCCUCAGUAAAGGACUGUGACCUGUUAGAGAAAAAGAAACUCUUUCCUCCCUAAAGGCUGCGUUGUUCAAUAUCAAGGGCGAUGAGAAAAGAUCCAAUUCUGGAAGCAUCUGGAGUCUCCUGCUUCUUGAAUGAGCAGAGAGUAUCUGAGAUCACCGGGGAGUGCUGAGCCAGACAGACAAUCAUCAGUGAGUUUUUAGAUAAAAGGCUAG